ensembl:lncRNA
CCUGAGUCUGAUGCAAAUUGAUGGUGGCUUGAUGCAAAACUGUAUGCUGAGGGGGCUAGCACGUUCACCUCAUACCUCCAGGGUCCGGGGUUCGAGUCCCGCCGGGGCCAUGUGUGUGUGCGGAGUUUGCAUUUUCUCCCUGUGCUGCAGGGAUUUCCUCCGGGUACUGCGGUUUCCUCCACCAGUCCAAAGACAUGCAUGAUAGGCUGACUGGCAUGUCUAAAGUGUCCGUAGUGUAUGAUGAGUGUGUAUGUGAUUGUGCCCUGCAAUGGACUGGCACCCUGUCCAGGUUGUACCCCGCCUCAUGCCCGAUGCUACCUGGGAUUGGCUUCAGGUUCCCCCGUGACCCUGAAAAGGAGUAAGCGGUAGAAGAUGGAUGGAUGCUGAGGAAGAAAAUGAUUCUGGCUUCAACAACAGCAUGUGAAUCCACCUACGAGUAUGUUUUUGGGAGAUGGGGGAGGGGAAACCUGGAGGAUGCCAACACAGACAUAUGUCCGGGCUAUCAUGACACCUGGAAAUAAAGUGUUAUGACCUACGUUGGACAAAAAAUAAAUAAAUCAAACUACUCCCGAUUCAAGCAAAGAGUUCUGGUGUUAGAUAAAUAGGAACCAGCAAGAGAAAGGC